rnacentral:lncRNA from 1 species
CUUGUUUGCUUGAGUUAAAAUGCAUAAUUGAUGCAAAUUGAUCACGACAUAAAGAUAGGAGAAAAGAAAAGUAAGAAUUUAUAUGCAAAAAGGUCGAAUACAUGAAUCACCACCUCUGAUCUUGCCAAUUUUCACAACAAAUAUUUCUUCUCAUCUCACAAUGUUUCCUCACCUCUCAUUCUCAUUCCUUCAAUUCACCACACAAGAAUCUUCAAUCCCCAUAUACUACCAAAAAAAAACACAAGUAAUCUGUGUAUGCAAUACCAAUAUAUUAGCUUUAUUUAGAGCCGAAUGAUCAUACCCGCACUAACACACUAUGUUUCAUUUUAAUUAAAUCGUUAUAGACACUUAUAAAACAGUAACAAAAACAUAGACAUAAGAAAGUCCUAACCUAAUCAGCAAGUUCAACUUCAUUCUUCAAAAUCAAGUCAUCCUCUAUCAUUUUUAAAUCAUAUAUCAAACAUAUUUAGUGAAUACACAAGCACUUAAUAGCUACAUUUUCAAUAUGUUGUAAUACACGAUUAUAUACCACCCUCAAAAACUACAAAUAGGAUAAUUUAAAGCACAAUUUACCUAAAACAUGGUACAUCUGGAUUGCGGUACCAGUAUAGGUACAAAAUACAGUAUAAAAAUUUCAAGAAAAAUUUUGAUGAUAUAGGAGAGAAAAAGAAAAAGAAAAAUAGGCUGUUCAAACACUACAUUUCUCUUCAACGUCAUCAGUAGAAGAGAACAUCAGCAUGUAUGCGGUGCAUAGUCAAGCAUCUUUAAAAGGGUCAAUCUAUUUCUACUAGUACAUCUGGAUUGUGGUACCAGUAUAGGUACAAAAUACAGUAUAAAAAUUUGAAGAAAAAUUUUGAUUAUAUAGAAGAGAAAAAGAGAAAGAAAAAUAGGUUGUUGGAACACUUGCAUUUCUCUUCAAGGUCAUCAGUAGAAGAGAACAUCACUAUGUAUGAGGUGCAUAGUCAAGCAUCCUUCAAAAAGGUCAAUCUAUUUCUACCGGUACAUCUAGAUUGUGGUACCAAUAUAGGUACAAAAUACAGUAUAAAAAUUUGAAGAAAAAUUUUGAUGAUAUAGGAGAGAAAAAGAGAAAGAAAAAUAGGUUGUUGGAACACUUGCAUUUCUCUUCAAGGUCAUCAGUAAAAGAGAACAUCAUCAUGCAAGCGGUGCAUAGUCAAGCAUCCUUAAAAGGGCCAAUCUACUUCUACUUAUGACACCAUAAAACACAAGAAAGAAGAUUCGUAAGUACAAAAACUGGCCAAACAAACAGGAAAUCUUGGACAUUAACUGAGCCAGACUAGAACUCACAAGGAAUCUUUGGUUUAAGCUUUUUGACAAGCAAAUCUGACAGUACUAUCUACAACAUUGCAUGCUCUCAUCCACAAUAAAAACAAAUUCGCUAUUUCAUUGUAGUCACCUUUUAUAUGGUAUUUUAUGAGAUUAUGACGAUGGCUGUGCAGGCAUGAUAAAAAAGGAGAUUCUAUAACAUUCUAACUUAAAGAAAACUNNNN